rnacentral:rRNA from 1 species
UACGUAGGGUGCGAGCGUUAAUCGGAAUUACUGGGCGUAAAGCGUGCGCAGGCGGUUCGUUGUGUCGGUGGUGAAAGCCCCGGGCUCAACCUGGGAAUGGCCAUGGAAACUGGCGAACUGGAGUGUGGCAGAGGGGGGUGGAAUUCCGCGUGUAGCAGUGAAAUGCGUAGAGAUGCGGAGGAACACCGAUGGCGAAGGCAGCCUCCUGGGCCAAUACUGACGCUCAUGCACGAAAGCGUGGGGAGCAAACAGG